rnacentral:lncRNA from 1 species
AAUGCGACGCCUAAAUUUUACUAUACUAUAUUUGUUCGAUAUGUAGUAUAGACUAAUAUAUGCACAAAAUUUUGUUAUAAUUUCAUUUUAUUCGACGCUUUGCUAUAUAAUUUCUCUUUACUCACCAGAGCCACUUUUACUCGCUGUGUAAAAGAUAGAUUCUAGCAAUUGGAGAGUUGACAGCAGAAGAUAAUAACUGUAAUAUGAAUCAUAAAAACUAUAUAUUAUACUAUAUGUGUUUGAAAAAUAGUAUAGAAUAAUCUAUUUAUACAAAUAGCAUAUUAGUAAA